AAAGUAGGGGAUCGCAAGACCUUGCGCGAUUGGAGCGGCCGAUAUCAGAUUAGGUAGUUGGUGGGGUAAAGGCUCACCAAGCCAACGAUCUGUAGCUGGUCUGAGAGGACGACCAGCCACACUGGGACUGAGACACGGCCCAGACUCCUACGGGAGGCAGCAGUGGGGAAUUUUGGACAAUGGGCGAAAGCCUGAUCCAGCCAUGCCGCGUGCAGGAUGAAGGCCUUCGGGUUGUAAACUGCUUUUGUACGGAACGAAACGGCCUUUUCUAAUACAGAGGGCUAAUGACGGUACCGUA
rnacentral:rRNA from 1 species